AUGGGUUUAAAUACCUUAAAACACCAGAUCUAGUUUGAUCUUGGAAGCUAAGCUGGGGCAGCCCUGGGUAGUACCUGAAUGGGAGGCCAAUACAAAGUGUGGAAUACUGGUAUGUAUUCAUC
rnacentral:rRNA from 11 species